UCACUGUGUUUUAUUUAGUUUCCCUUAAAUUCCCAUCUGCUAUUUUCUAGAGGUCAGAGGAAAGAAUCAGGAAUGUCCCAAGUCUGCAAUCCCCAUCUUCCUUCCUGUGAUGAUAAUCAUCAUUGUCAACAUGACUGCAUUUGGAAUCACCUAGGAGACAUACCUCUAUGGGUGCAUUUGAGAUGUUUAACUGAGGAGAAAAGACUCUGAAGGUCAGCGGAACUUUCCUAAAGUCUGAGGUCCUGGACUUAAUAGAAUAGAGAAAACAAGAAUUGGAACAUUUCCUUCUGUGCCGGUCAUGCUGUUGGAAGAAAGGCAUGGAUCUUCAAGAACUCCUUUUUUUUCAAGAUUCUAAUGUCCUGUAGAAGCAGGUGUUAAGGACCAAGCCAAGAAUCUGUAGUGGGACAACUGCAUCUGUUUGGGUCUUGGAAAAACUUAACUUGUGCUGCCAUUGGUGUAAGAAGUUUGAUCAGGACCUCUGUAUCCUGGAGCAUCAUUCUUUGUGAUCAAGGCCCAUGAUUCUUCACACACUGGUGGUGGUACCCUGUGGACUGUGACUCCAGCUGAAGUGAGGAAGUGUGAGUGGUCAGAAGAACGUGAGUCGCUUCCUCCUGGACCCACAACUGGGAAGGGAUUUGAGACAUGGAAGUUGCAUAGGAUCAUGCAACACUUUCCCUUUUCUUGCCAUCUUGGGAACUCUGCACAUGCACCCUCUCCCCAAGUCUAGUUUUCUUUGGAGAGCUGCCUGCAUGGUACAGAAGCCUUCCAGCCUUAUGUCAUCUACAAGGACUGCAUGGUGCAGGCCUUAUCUGAAGGCCACUACCCAUUCUUUGACCUCUAUAAAUGAGCAUUGUAAGAUAAUUGCACAAGACUAGAAAUAAACUUCCAAUAGAUGGCAUCUUUGUGCGGUGCCUCAUGAGCCAUUUUCUAGUAAACAGGGUCCAGUGUGUGGUUCACAUCUGGGUUUUUAGAAACUCUCACAGCUGGAGCCCUAAAUGGAGGAUGUAUAAUGUCUUAAU